GAUGAAGAACGUAGCGAAAUGCGAUAAGUAAUGUGAAUUGCAGAAUUCAGUGAAUCAUCGAAUCUUUGAACGCACAUUGGGCCCCCCAGUAUUCUGGCGGGCAUGCCUGUUCGAGCGUCAUUUCAACCAUCAAGCCCUGCUUGUGUUGGGGUCCUGCGGCUGCCCGCAGGCCCUGAAAACCAGUGGCGGGCUCGCUAGUCACACCGAGCGCAGUAGCACAUCUCGCUCAGGGCGUGCGGCGGGCUCCAGCCGUUAAAGCACCCACCUUUCGCAAGGUUGACCUCGGAUCAGGUAGGAAUACCCGCUGAACUUAAGCAUAUCAAUAAGCGGAGGA
rnacentral:misc_RNA from 1 species